UAGACUAGCCCUGGCAGCUGCCGCUAGAGGCGCGUCUAGAUUUCUAGGCUAGUACACUGAGGGAUUAGCCAUCAAACUUCGUUUGACAGAGGGAUCUGUACCUACUGUCCGUGGCAAGUCACAAGAUGAGAGACAUACUCUACCUGGCUGCUCUGCAUUACAAUGAGGAUGCUGCACGAGACCAGGCCUCCUUAUCCUCUGGGGACCCUCUCUAAAGGAUGCAUUUCCCAAAGUACAGGAAGAAAGAGUGCAGGGUGAAACCCAUCAAAACCGACACAACAUUCCGGUAUGUGGAAGACUUGAUGGGCUUCAUCAUGGGCGAGGUCUUUGUG